ensembl:lncRNA novel transcript, antisense to PLD5
UUCUUAAGAAUGUCGUAUAAACUGAGUCAUGGAGUAGGUAGCCCUUGGUAUCCUGCUUCUUUCAGCUAGCAUAAUGCAUGUGAGAUCCAUUCAUGCUGUUGUGCAAAACAGUAGUUUGUUUCUUUUUAUUGCUGAGUAAGGAUUUUAUUGUAUGGAAUGUACCAGUUUGUUUAUCCAUUCUCCAGUUGAGAAACAUUUGGGUAGUUUUUAGUUCCUGGUGAUGACAGAUAAAGCUGCUGCAAACAUUCAUGUGCAUAUUUUCGUGAGGAUGUAGUUUUCAUUUCACUUGAGUAAAUGCAAAGCAGUGAGAUUGCUGGGUCAUACAGAGUACAGGGCCCCCUCUGCUGGGAUCCAGGAACAAGCUAGCAAGGCCUCCAGACAGGGGAUUUCCACUGAUCCUUUGUCACUACUGAGCCCAAAAGUGCACGGGCAGCAAGUUACCAAAUCGCCUUCCACAAGGUCUACAAACCCAUCUGGGACACAUGGCAGGGACCAACACGCUUCUAGACUUCCCAUGUUCCAAGUCCACUUCUGCCGGCAGAAUAGAAACCUCGUCAGUUAUCACAACUCAGGGAGGACAAAUGGAUUCCUGAGGUGCAGGGCAAUCAACAGAUGAGAUCCAAGAGUCAGAACCCUGGAAUGGACCACCAGAACUUUCCCAUGGAGCCCCAGGACUUCUUCCCCCAAUUCCUGCUGUUUCUCCUCCUCCCUGUAGCAGGCUUCUUAAAGCAGGUAGUUUGACCUGCUGAGCAUCACAUUGCAUAAAACAAUGCCGGAAGACUUGAGCAAUGGUGACUUACCAAGACAGCUGGCUGCCUAUGUUUAUGGCAUUUGGAAUCCACCGGGAACACAUACAUUUGUCACAGUGUGUUCCCGAAAUAAAUGAGGCUGUCUCCCAACUGGCCCCAUAUAAUCAACGCAGCCCAGCCCCACAUAGCUACUCCAAUGAAUAAUGCUUUGUUUGCCAAAUGCAAUGGGAACCUACCACAGGCCAGGGUGCUUCCAACAACAACAACAACAAGAAACUAAAGACAGUAAGGGAGAAAGAGUGGGUAUAAGCACUUAUCAAU